UCCUGGCCAACCACCACAGCGCCAUGACUGGAUGGUCGACUGGCCGCUCACGCCAUGAACACACCUGCAGGAAGAGCAGGGGGUUCAAUUUGAUUGACGGACGUAGCUCCAGUAUACUCCUGAACACUCCUGGACAGGUACGCGCUGUGCAGCACGCGAAACACUGGUCACAUCUUUGGCUGACAGUGUUCUUUAAUACAAGUGUUUCCACAUCUGUCACACAGAAACUGAGCUUAUGGAUCAAGUGGACGUCAGGGAGGAGACUUGAGAGCCAAAAGAAGUCAGAGGAACAUCCUGGACAGCGCUGCAAGGACUGCUGGGAGUUCAGUACCUGCAUAUCUUCAUGUGGAGUACUGUGAGAUUGCAUCCUUUAAUAUGUAGAUUAUACACUACCGUUCAGAAGUUUGGGGUCACUUAGAAAUGUCCUGAUUUUUGAGAGAAAAACAUUUUUUUUUUGUCAAUGAAGAUAACAUUAAAUUAAUCAUAAAUCCAGUGUAGACAUUGUUAAUGUGGUAAAUGACUAUUCUAGUUGGAAACAGCUGAUUUUUAAUGGAAUAUCUCCAUAGGGGUACAGAGGAACAUUUCCAGCAACCAUCACUCCUGUGUUCUAAUGCUACAUUGUGUUAGCUAAUGGUGUUGAAAGGCUAAUUGAUGAAUAGAAAACCCUUGUACAGUUAUGUUAGCACAUGAAUAAAAAUGUGAGUUUUCAUGGAAAACAUGAAAUUGUCUGGGUGACCCCAAACUUCUGAACAGUAAUGUAAAUUCUGUUUUAGCUUUAAAAACAGGUUUAUUGCUAUUUGACUUGAUUAUAGAAUCACUCCGACCAGGUUGGAGGAGUUGACAACGCGACUUCAACAAGCAAACAAAUUUGAAGCCAUUCAACUCUCUGACACUUAAAGCUUGUAAUUCAAAUGAAAAACAGAAGUGUGAGGUGCACCCAAUUUGUCCAGGAAAUGUACGUAUUUUAAACUUGUAACAUCUUGACUGUGCUGACAGCUACAGGACACACAUCAGCUUUGGCAACCUUGAGCUACUCUGGAUUCUGAAAUUCGUCUUGUUGACAUCUUUCAUUGUGUUCCCCUUGUGGCAGAAAAUCAAAAGAAUGAGAAAAAGAUUUUAUACAGAUCGGAACUACAUCUAUAUUGUCUUGGCAGCAGUUUUAAUGCAGGUAUUCUGAUCUUCAUUCAAGACAAAACAACAUCCAGAACUUAUUUUUGUGGACAUGAAGCCUGUAACCUGUUUACUAGUCAAUAAAGUAGAUGUUCAAGUUUUAUUGUUGACUUUCUCCUGAUAGAUUUUCUUCACUGGCCUCAUGCUGGGAGUUAUUUUAGAAAUGCAAUAAAUUGAUAAUCACAACGUUGACAGAGACAAACACUGCAUAGAGGGUAUUUAACUGUUUCUUUUGUUUAACAAUACUAUUAUUUUAUAUGUAACAGCUGAAAGCUAAACAGUAAUAUUUGCAGUGUGUCUAUUUCAAUAUGUAUCUGCUUUACUAUAUGUGCACGUGCAGUUUGUGUUCAGAUAACAGACAUCAGCAUACACUUUAAAAAGUGUGUUUAUGGGUGCCUAGAAAGCUCAACUGGUUGAGCGAGCAACGCUAUGCAGUGGCCUGGGUUCAAUUCCAGCUCAUGGUCCUUUACUGCAUGUCUUCCCCUCAUUCUUCUCCCUGCUUUCUUGACUGUGCCUAUCAAACAAAGCCAACAAAAGGCCAAAAAAAGAACCCUUAAAAAUAAAAGUUUGUAUUAUGUCACUGAU
ensembl:lncRNA